rnacentral:rRNA from 1 species
UAGCGGGGGGGGCAAGCUUGUUCGGAAUUACUGGGGCGUAAAGGGCUCGUAGGCGGCCAACUAAGUCCGACGUGAAAUCCCCAGGCUUAACCUGGGAAACUGCGUCGGAUACUGGAUGGCUUGAAUCCGGGAGAGGGAUGCGGAAUUCCAGGUGUAGCGGUGAAAUGCGUAGGAUAAUCUGGAGGAACACCGGUGGCGAAGGCGGCAAUCC